rnacentral:tRNA from 1 species
AGCGAGAUGGCGCAGCUGGUAGCGCGCUGGGCUCAUAUUCAGUUGUAACCCAGAGGUCGUCGGAUCGAAACUGACUCUCGCUA